CAAGGGCAGGAUUUCAGGGAGCCCCUGCAGUUUCCCUGUUGGAUGGUGAGGCCGGCCACUGGUCACAUCAGCUUUGGUGGCUCAGACCCGGAGGGCCAAGCCUACCAUCUGCCCGGCCACCUGGAGCCUCUCAAGGCCAUUGAUCCUGAGCAGAAAGGAGCUGUUCAAGAAAUUAGUGCCUGCCCACUGCCUGGGCUCCAUUUGGUCCCAGCGAGACAACAGGGACUGCGAGUAACUGGCACCCACCAUCCGUGACACUGUGGCACAGACGAACACCUUGACCAACAGUGUCAUCGCUACGUGCCUCGGGGCCCAGGACAUGUCAGCCCAGGAAAGGGCCAGGGUGGUGGAGAUGUGGAUUCAUGUGGCCGAGAAACUUCUCAUCCUUCCACACGAUCCUUUCUGCUCUGCAGAGCCCUGCCAUUAAGCAUCUCAAAGAGACCUGGGGACAAGUUUCCAGGGAGAGUUCCUACACCUUUAAGAAGUGGUGCAUGGGAGAGCAGCAGGAGGUGACCUCCGUGUUGGCCACUGCACAGAGGGCCUGCCAUGCAGCCUGGGAGAGGUGGCGUCAGCAGGUGAGGGUGCCUGUGGGGGAGGUGCCCAGGAGUCAGAGGAGAGGGCACUCCCCAUCCCAGCUAGAUGCCUCCCCCAGGAGAGGGGCCUUCCUUCUCCAGUGCAUCUGCUGUGGCUGCCGAGCCUGA
rnacentral:lncRNA from 1 species